rnacentral:rRNA from 1 species
UACGGAGGAUGCGAGCGUUCCCCGGAUUUACUGGGUGUAAAGGGCGUGUAGGCGGUCUCUCAAGUCCGAUGCUACAGACCGAAGCUCAACUUCGGGGGUGCGUUGGAUACUGUGAGGCUAGACGGUCGGAGAGGGUAGCGGAAUUUCCGGAGUAGCGGUGAAAUGCGCAGAUACCGGAAGGAACGCCAAUAGCGAAGGCAGCUACCUGGACGAUUGGUGACGCUGAGGUGCGAAAGCGUGGGGAGCAAACCGG